GAUGAAGAACGUAGCGAAAUGCGAUAAGUAAUGUGAAUUGCAGAAUUCAGUGAAUCAUCGAAACUUUGAACGCACAUUGCGCCCGCCAGUAUUCUGGCGGGCAUGCCUGUCCGAGCGUCAUUUCAACCCUCGAACCCCUCCGGGGGGUCGGCGUUGGGGAUCGGCACUUACCUGCCGGCCCCGAAAUACAGUGGCGGUCUCGCCGCAGCCUCUCCUGCGCAGUAGUUUGCACACUCGCACCGGGAGCGCGGCGCGUCCACGGCCGUAAAACAACCCAAACUUCUGAAAUGUUGACCUCGGAUCAGGUAGGAAUACCCGCUGAACUUAAGCAUAUCAAUAAGCGGAGGA
rnacentral:misc_RNA from 1 species